rnacentral:pre_miRNA from 1 species
GGGUGGAGAUGGUCGAAACAGGGUUGAAACAGGCGAAAACCAGUUGUUCGUCUGGUUUUCGCCUGUUUCAACCCUGUUUCGACCUUCUCCACCCUGU